AGGAAAGUAUUCGACCGGUUUUGGUUGUUUUGGUGGGGGAUGGGCUCGCGGCCUAUCAGCUUGUUGGUGGGGUGAUGGCCUGCCAAGGCUUGACGGGUAGCCGGCCUGAGAGGUGGGCGGUCACACUGGGACUGAGACACGGCCCAGACUCCUACGGGAGGCAGCAGUGGGGAAUAUUGCACAAUGGGCGCAAGCCUGAUGCAGCGACGCCGCGUGAGGGAUGGAGGCCUUCGGGUUGUGAACCUCUUUCGCCAGUGAAGAAGGUCCUGCUCUUUGUGGUGGGGUUGACGGUAGCUGGGUUAAUGAAGCGCCGGCUAACUAC
rnacentral:rRNA from 1 species